rnacentral:rRNA from 1 species
UACGAAGGGGGCUAGCGUUGUUCGGAUUUACUGGGCGUAAAGCGCACGUAGGCGGAUCGUUAAGUCGGGGGUGAAAUCCUGGAGCUCAACUCCAGAACUGCCUUCGAUACUGGCGAUCUUGAGUCCGGAAGAGGUGAGUGGAACUCCUAGUGUAGAGGUGGAAUUCGUAGAUAUUAGGAAGAACACCAGUGGCGAAGGCGGCUCACUGGUCCGGUACUGACGCUGAGGUACGAAAGCGUGGGUAGCGAACGGG